rnacentral:lncRNA from 1 species
CUUGUUUUUCUAUACAUAUGAGAAUUUUGAGAUCAAUUUAAUGGUAAAAAAGAGAGAUAUUGGCUCUAGAAGAUUAACAUCUCGAUUGGAGAAAGAGGUUGGCAAAUAUCCAAGCACGUUUUUGAGGUUAUCAUCUAUUUGGUAAUUCCGAUCUUUUUUAAUUUUUUUUUGCUUGUUAUCAACUUAAUUGUUAAGAAUUUUGAAAACUUUGAGUUAAGAUUAAUAGUUCAUUCAUUAAUUGUUGAGGUUUAAAUUUAUUUUAGGAAUUACUAGAGUUUGAUUUAGGAUUUAGGAUUUGGUUAGGAUUUGAUUUAGGAUUAGGAUUUGGUUAGGAUUUGAUGUAGGAUUAAGAUUUGAUUAGGUUUUGAUUUAGGAUUUAGGAUUUGGUUAGAUUUUGAUUUAGGAUUUAGAAUUUGGUUAAGGUUUGAUUUAGGAUUUAGGAUUUGGUUAGAUUUUGAUUUAGGAUUUAGAAUUUGGUUAAGGUUUGAUUUAGGAUUAGAUUUUUGUCAAAAGUUGAUUUAAGAUUUAGGGUUUUAUUAAGGUUUAUUUAAGAUUUAAGAUAUAGUUAGUUUUUGGCUUAAAAUUUGAAUGAAGUCCAAUAGGAUUUUAACUAGGAUUAAAUUAAGAUUGAAUUGAGUUGUAUUUGAGAUAUAUUUGUGAUCAUUCAAAUAUUUCUUUAAGAUUUCUUAUUAUUUUUUUGUAAUUCCUUUCAAGUUUCUUUGAAUUUGAUUAAAGCUUU